CCUACGGGAGGCAGCAGUGAGGAAUAUUGGUCAAUGGACGAGAGUCUGAACCAGCCAAGUAGCGUGAAGGAUGACUGCCCUAUGGGUUGUAAACUUCUUUUAUAUGGGAAUAAAAUGUUCCACGUGUGGGAUUUUGUAUGUACCAUAUGAAUAAGGAUCGGCUAACUCCGUGCCAGCAGCCGCGGUAAUACGGAGGAUCCGAGCGUUAUCCGGAUUUAUUGGGUUUAAAGGGAGCGUAGGUGGAUUGUUAAGUCAGUUGUGAAAGUUUGCGGCUCAACCUUAAAAUUGCAGUUGAAACUGGCAGUCUUGAGUACAGUAGAGGUGGGCGGAAUUCGUGGUGUAGCGGUGAAAUGCUUAGAUAUCACGAAGAACUCCGAUUGCGAAGGCAGUUCACUGGACUGCAACUGACACUGAGGCUCGAAAGUGUGGGUAUCAAACAGGAUUAGAUACCCGAGUAGUC
rnacentral:rRNA from 1 species